UUAUUAUUAUUAUUAUUAUUUUGUUUCCUUGUACAUUUGUAGUGCCUAUAAUUAUAAGCUACAUAUUUGGUAAUACAUGUAGCAAAAUCCGAGUAAAAUCGCGUUCUUCAAGCCUAGAAACAAUGAGCUAUAACAUGAGAGCUUGGGUUGUGACUGUGUUGGUUGUUCUGGUAGCUUCAAAUGCUUUUAUAUGUGAUGUUAAUGCGGCCGGAGAGUGUGGGAAGACACCAAUCAGGUCAGCAGCUGCGAGCUUGAGCCCAUGCUUGGGAGCGGCAGGGAAUGCAAGGGCCGCUGUGCCACCAGCUUGCUGCUCCAAAGUUGCUGCCUUGAUCAAGACAGCUCCAAAAUGUCUUUGUGCUGUUCUGUUGUCAGUUGUCACCUUUGGCAAAGCAAGCUGGAAUCAAACCAGGAAUUGCCAUCACCAUUCCAAAGCGUUGCAGCAUUAAAAACAGACAAGCUGGAAAGAAGUGUGGAAAGUACACGCUCCCAUGAGCAUGACGGAAGUCCGAGCAUAGACGGCAGGGAAACAGCAAACCCCACGCGAGAAGAACAGAGAGUGUGUUAAUAAGAGCUGCCAUUGAGGGUCAGGUUCUGCUAUAUAACCACUGACCCGUUAGAAUUGAAGGUGGCAGCACCAGCAGUUGUUUUUGAUGUUGUUUGUAGCUUCAUAUGUGUGCUACAAUCAAAAUCUCUUUAUAUAAAAUCAUCUGCUA